rnacentral:rRNA from 1 species
GUGAGCCAGUACAGGAUGACCCGCGGCUGAUUAGCUAGUUGGUAAGGUAACGGCUUACCAAGGCGACGAUCAGUAGCCGACCUGAGAGGGUGAUCGGCCACAUUGGAACUGAGACACGGUCCAAACGCCUACGGGAGGCAGCAGUGGGGAAUAUUGCACAAUGGGCGAAAGCCUGAUGCAGCAACGCCGCGUGAGUGAUGAAGGCCUUCGGGUCGUAAAACUCUGUCCUCAAGGAAGAUAAUGACGGUACUUGA